AGUACGUCGAUUUGAUUGGGAAUGAUGAAAGCAAUGGUGAAGCAAAUUCUAUUAACUAUGCGCAGCCUGCUAGUAGAUAAGCUUGGCUCAGCUACAGUUGUCUUUCAUAUAAAGGAUAGCAGUUAUGUUUUCACGUUCGACUGCACUGUUUUUCAAAGUUCCUUCUUUUUUGCAUGACCGCUUAUCUUUCUUAAAUGUCACAUGGACGCGAUGUGACUCUAGAUUAAUAAAACAUGACUGUUUUACAGAUGCACACACAACCAUGGAUAGCCUCACACAUGUGUAAAGUUACUGGUGUCUCUACAAGAAGUUAGUUCUCUAAGAAGAAAGUUACUGGUGUCUCUCUGAAGAGCCAGGCAUAAACCGGAAGACGUCGCUUGGGUCUGCCAGUGAUUAGGCUGCUUCCGCAUGUAACCAUCUAUACUGCAAGAGAAACUGCGGGAUGACGGUUGCGAAGUGGCGUAGCAAUCACGUGAUUAUUAUUAUGACCAUUAUUGUCUUAUUAUGCGUCUUAUCCGUGUCACCCUAUAUUGUUAAUAAUUAGCCUAUUUAUGUUGUAAUAUCAUAUUUUGUACUAUUAGAAAGAGCGUUUCUUACAGUGCAUGUAACAUCACUGUACUUGGUUUGUGUUCAAUAAACAAGAGUUCGUUGGUACGA